UCAAGGAGGGAGAUGUGGUCACUUUGGAGUUGUCAAGGAUCAGUGCAGGUAGCCAUCUCGGCUGGGGCUCAAGCGGCAUGGUGCGAAUUGAUUGCUGAACAAUGUCAUGAUCGACCAACCAAAGGCGACACACUACUUCAAAUUUCGAUGGGACCUUGGUGGUUGCGGCUUGAGGGCAAGCCACAUUUCAAGCGGUGGGGAAUGUCACGAACAGGGCCUCUCAGGAGUGGCUGCUAGGUGGGGCCAGGUAGGGGAACGGCAAAAGAUACAAAAGCAGAGGACCAUGACGGGAAUGGCAUCGAACAACAGAACGAGUGAUGAUGCAAUGAUAUCGUUUGAUGCUACAAAUCCAUUAUAUGAGAGUUUCUUUCGAUCGUGCAAAUAGAAUCUUGUUAGUAAUGGGAGCAAUGGUUCAAGCUUAAUAUCAGGGGUGGUUACUUUAAUUUCCUACAGCAUCCACAUUUUCCAUUGCCACCACAGCUUGGUGAAAAUUUCCAUUUUGUUGGGCUUUCAAACAACCUGCAGCCACCUUCUCCAGCACCUCCACCACAUGGCACAACGAUUCAGACAGAGAAGAACAGCAUUGAAAUUGAUGAUGAUAGUGGUGUUGCAGCAAGUAGGCCUGUCAAGAAAAGAUAUUGGACACAUGAGGAGGAAGUGAGAUUGGCAACUGCUUGGCUAAACACUUCUAAGGACCCUAUACAUGGUAAUGACAAGAAAGGUGAUUCAUUUUGGGGUCAAGUCACAGAAUAAUUUAACAAGAACUGCGUACCAGAUCGUAUUAGGGACACUAACCAACUGAAGAUACACUGGUCAUGCCUUAGCAAAACAAUAAAUGAAUUCAACAGCUUUUGGACCACAGUGUCUAAUAUGAAUAAGAGUGGAUACUCUGAUGACCAACUAAUGGAUGAAGCACAACAGCGGUUUGAAAAAAAGAAUGGAAAGCCAUUCACAUUGGUUCAUUGGUGGAAGAUACUAAAAAAAUGAACCAAAAUAGCGGGCACAUGUUGGUCAGUCUGAAAGAGAAAAACAACAUGUUGAUACUGUUGAUGACAAGGAAGAACGUCCUACCGGGAGAGAAUCGGCAAAGACAGAGCGCAAAGGGAAGCGGAAGGCGGAACAAGUUAUGGAUGGCAUUGUCCUCCUUGGAGAUAACAUCAACAAAAUAGUUGAAGUUACGGAAGAGCGUAAGAAGGAGCGUGAAAAGGUAACAGAGGCGCAGCUUGAGAUCUCAAGACUUAACCUGCAGGCUGCACAGACGCAAAAGGAAGCAAAGUUGAUCGAAGCUUACAAUAAUUUGCUGGUUCGAGACACAAGCCAUAUGUCCGAAGAAGCAAAGACUAGCCAUGAGAAGACAUUGCAGAAGAUGGAGAAGAAGCUAUUUGGUACAGAUGAUUAAACAUGAGGGAAUGUGGCUGGAGAGAGGAAGAUGUUGGCUUUGCUGCCUUUAUCAGGGUGGAGAAACCGAUCCAUGUUUUGUUGGAUUGAUACUAUUUUGAUACUAUUAUGAAUUAAAUAUUGCUGCCUUUAUCAGGGUGGAGAAACCGAUCCAUGUUUUGUUGGUUUGAUCAUUUAUCUAUGUUUGCUUGUAACUGCUGUGAUGGGCAACGUGAAACUGAUCCAUAUAUGUGUGAAUGCUGGUGGAUUAUAAUGUGAAAUUGAACCACACUAGCAAUGUGAAA